rnacentral:rRNA from 1 species
AUUGAACGCUGGCGGCAUGCCUUACACAUGCAAGUCGAACGGCAGCACGGGAGCAAUCCUGGUGGCGAGUGGCGAACGGGUGAGUAAAGUAUCGGAACGUGCCCAGUCGUGGGGGAUAACGUAGCGAAAGUUACGCUAAUACCGCAUACGAUCUAUGGAUGAAAGCGGGGGAUCGCAAGACCUCGCGCGAUUGGAGCGGCCGAUAUCAGAUUAGGUAGUUGGUGGGGUAAAGGCUCACCAAGCCGACGAUCUGUAGCUGGUCUGAGAGGACGACCAGCCAAACUGGGACUGAGACACGGCCCAGACUCCUACGGGAGGCAGCAGUGGGGAGUGUUGGACAAUGGGCGAAAGCCUGAUCCAGCCAUGCCGCGUGCAGGAUGAAGGCCUUCGGGUUGUAAACUGCUUUUGUACGGAACGAAAAGGUUUGGGCUAAUAAGCUGAGCUCAUGACGGUACCGUAAGAAUAAGCACCGGCUAACUACGUGCCAGCCGCCGCGGUAA